rnacentral:rRNA from 1 species
GAGGAACGCUGGCGGCGUGCCUAAUACAUGCAAGUCGAGCGAAUGGAUUAAGAGCUUGCUCUUAUGAAGUUAGCGGCGGACGGGUGAGUAACACGUGGGUAACCUGCCCAUAGGACUGGGAUAACUCCGGGAAACCGGGGCUAAUACCGGAUAACAUUUUGAACCGCAUGGUUCGAAAUUGAAAGGCGGCUUCGGCUGUCACUUAUGGAUGGACCCGCGUCGCAUUAGCUAGUUGGUGAGGUAACGGCUCACCAAGGCAACGAUGCGUAGCCGACCUGAGAGGGUGAUCGGCCACACUGGGACUGAGACACGGCCCAGACUCCUACGGGAGGCAGCAGUAGGGAAUCUUCCGCAAUGGACGAAAGUCUGACGGAGCAACGCCGCGUGAGUGAUGAAGGCUUUCGGGUCGUAAAACUCUGUUGUUAGGGAAGAACAAGUGCUAGUUGAAUAAGCUGGCACCUUGACGGUACCUAACCAGAAAGCCACGGCUAACUACGUGCCAGCCGCCGCCGUAA